GCCGGAGUGGUGGAAUUGGUAGACACCAGGGACUUAAAAUCCCUUGCUGAACAAUCGGCGUACGGGUUCAACUCCCGUUUCCGGCA
rnacentral:tRNA from 1 species